GACGAACGCUGGCGGCGUGCUUAACACAUGCAAGUCGAACGGUGAAGCACCUUCCUUUUGGUGGGUGUGGAUGAGUGGCGAACGGGUGAGUAACACGUGAGUAACCUGCCCCCUUCUUCUGGAUAACCGCAUGAAAGUGUGGCUAAUACGGGAUAUUCUGGGUCUGUCGCAUGGCGGGCCUGGGAAAGAUAUUGUUUCGGUGGGGGAUGGGCUCGCGGUCUAUCAGCUUGUUGGUGGGGUGAUGGCCUACCAAGGCGGUGACGGGUAGCCGGCCUGAGAGGGUGGACGGUCACACUGGGACUGAGACACGGCCCAGACUCCUACGGGAGGCAGCAGUGGAGAAUAUUGCACAAUGGGCGCAAGCCUGAUGCAGCGACGCCGCGUGAGGGAUGGAGGCCUUCGGGUUGUAAACCUCUUUCGCCAGUGAAGCAGGCCUGUCCCUUUUGUGGGUGGGUUGACGGUAGCUGGAUAAGAAGCGCCGGCUAACUACGUG
rnacentral:rRNA from 1 species